AAGGGUAUAGCUCAGUGGUAGAGCACAUGCUUAGCAUACAUGAGGUCCUGGGUUCAAUUCCCAGUAUCUCCA
rnacentral:tRNA from 1 species